CUUAUGCAUGCCGUGACAAGCUUUUGCCAAAUCAGUCUCUCUCUUAGAAGGUUUGAUUUCCUAGUCAUCCACGGUACGACAUGUAGGAGAACCACAGGGGAUGAUGUUCUUGUGCUCAUCCUAGACUCUGUAAUAAGCAUCAGCCCUCGCUGACGCAACAACAAAGAAGAGAAAAGAUUGCAUAUUGAAGACGCAACGAGCUGCACUAAAUGGCCAAAGGCCCAAGUUCCUUGGACCCAACAGCUAAAGAAGCUUUCGUUAGUGGAAAUGGUGGGGCUGUGUUGGCCGAUGAACAGAGUGCGCCAUGAUGGGCCCUAAGUGAUCUCCUCUCCACACGACUUUACCUAGUUUUUGUCCUUUUACUUGUCCGCCUUUUCCUUUGUUUUUCCACCUUUCAGCGGACUGCGCGAACGCUAGAGCAGCUUCGAUAUGGCGGUGAAGUUUCUGGAUUGGUACGUGAAGAUUGCGGUCUUCUCGGCUCUCGUCGGAGGCUCCAUGGAGUUGUUCAUGAUCAAGACCGGUUUCUGUAUGAUAAAGUGACUGUAUUGGAGUCGGAGAAGCGGGCUUGGGAGAAUUCGCCUGAAGCUCAGGCUGUCAGAGAAGCUCUUAAUCCUUGGAGAAAUCAUGAUGCAGAAGCAAAAAAGAAAUCAUAGUGCUGCCAUUGUUGAGUUAUUCCUGG